AUGAGCGAUAGAAAAAAAAUGGGAAAGGCAAAAGAAGUGGUUGUGGUGGCGGGUGCCCUAGCAUUUGUUUGGCUCACUAUUGAACUCGCUUUCAAGCCCUUCCUUUCUCAGACCCGCGGCUCCAUCGACAAAUCCGAUCCGACCCUGGACCCUGAUGAUGUUCCUGACGCUGCCGCCGCUCCUCCUCCUUCUGAAACUGACGCCGAAGAUGCCGACAAAGACGACUGA